UCGGGCUUCCGGGAGUGUUAUUUAAAUGGACCUGGACCUGGGAUUCGCUUACCGCCUUUCUGGCAAUCUUUCUGAUUAAAAAUGGAUGAUGGCCAUUAAAGGCCAGCGCGGCCCCGCCGCCGUCCUGGGCUUGGGGGUGGGCGGCGCCCCGCAGUUCCGCGUGUCGGGCGCUCCUCCGGGACAGGCUCCUGCCGCCUCCCCACGGAAGCAGCCCGGGGACGGGGAAGCACCCCGCGGAGGCCACCCGAGUGGACCGAGGCGAGACGAGGGGUCGACGUCCCCCGCGGCUCCCGGAAAAAUCCAAAGGCUAUCUACAUCGAAAUAAUUGAAAUGAAAUGAGAUUAAAGAUUCAGUUCUUCAGUCACACUAGCCAUAUGUCACGUGCAAAACAGCCAGCCACAUGUGGCUAGUGACUGCUGCACGGAGUGGCACAGAUCACAGAACGUUUACAUCAUCACAAGAAGUCCUGUUGAAAAGCAUUGGUUAGAGGACAACUGCCUACCGCAACUUUGUAAUUACUGCUUGGUGUGGAACCCAGGCCUUCCACAGGCUGGGCAAGGUCUCUCCCAUGGAGCUCCUAUUCCCAACCCUGCAGGAAACCUUUCUUUCACGAAGAAGCCUUAGCAUGAAGCAGCCUUAUGGAAGGGAGGUAGACAAUGGGAAGAUGAUUGGCCUUCCCAGAGGGUGGAACAUAAAGCACCAGGAGUGGAUCUGAUUUUCCAAAGCAAUUCAGAGUCAUCUGGAGCCAAGUCAUACCCCAGACCUGACAUGCUCAGGUUCAAUAUUUUUCUCAGUAAAUGAGUGAGCAAGCUGGGCAGUCUGGCCUGGUGGGGGAGGGAGGAAGAGGGAGACAGACGGCAUCGACAGAAGAGUACAGCUGAGUUUUUGUGGGUAGCAGCGCAUUAACUAAAUGAAUCCUAAGAGGAGCUCCAGAAAUGUUUUGAAUAGUGUUUGCGGCAUCAGAAUGAAGACAAACCUCUCGGAGGAGCUGUUCCGGAAGGGACUGCAUCAGCUAGCUGUGUGCCCAUGAUUUAAGAUCCUUAGCUACUGCAGGCUGCAGUUUCCUCAGCUGUAAUGUGAAGAAUCAGUGCUGCUAAAGCGAGCACACCAUGAAGAAUCAGGACUAGAGACCAUCGCAGCACUUUCUGUGAGUGUAUGGUUUGGAUAGUUAAACUCUAUUACUCUCUUCGUUAGAAGAGCUUCCUUGUCAGAUCUCAAAGCUUCAGUGAAAGCUGAAAAUAACCUUGUCAGGGAGAGCAAAUAGGUUUCAUCACACGAGCCAGUUUAUAUUAAUUGCUCAUUCUGCACUUGCUUAGAAAACUCUGUCGGAAGAGUGUCCAAGCUGAGUGGAACGGAGCGCCCUGGGGAUGGAUACCCACAAUACAGCUACUGCGCGACCCAACUGCUUUUCCAGAUGCUUUCUUUCUCCUUGCCCAAGGCUGCUCUGAGUAUGUGAAAGCCUAUCAGUGGAGGCGAAUCUUUUAGAGCUUUCAGUGGUAACAACUGGCUGCGGCACGUGUGCCACAGGUUCGCCACCAGGACCUCAGAGUGCGCUUCCCUGGUGCUCAUGCCGCUAGGGGUGGCCAUGCGAUGCAGCUCCUGUCUGGAUGUGAGUGUGUAGCUGCAGCGGGCAUCUUGUGAUCAGGAGAGAGCUGUGGAGGAUCACAGAGAUGCGACCUCUGGACUCACGCAGCUGCGAAGCCACAGCAGCAGCUGCCUAACGUUCAGACAGCUGUGAGGUGAGAAAAAUUAACCCCAUCACUUCAGCCCUGGGAGUUUGAGACUUGUUACUUCCAGUUGAACAUUUCCUCACACGCCCUAGAUUAUAAAUUUGCCUCCACAGGAGUAAAUAUAAAUUGUCUCUGCUACCCCUGCAGUGUUCUUGUUUCUCAUUCAACUUUUCCCUCUUUCGGCCUGCCCUUCUUCCUUUC
rnacentral:lncRNA from 1 species